UACGUAGGGGGCGAGCGUUGUCCGGAUUUAUUGGGCGUAAAGAGCUCGUAGGCGGCUUGGCAAGUCGGGUGUGAAACCUCCAGGCUCAACCUGGAGACGCCACUCGAUACUGCCAUGGCUAGAGUCCGGUAGGGGACCACGGAAUUCCUGGUGUAGCGGUGAAAUGCGCAGAUAUCAGGAGGAACACCGGUGGCGAAGGCGGGACUCUGGGCCGAUACUGACGCUGAGGAGCGAAAGCGUGGGGAGCGAACAGG
rnacentral:rRNA from 1 species